rnacentral:rRNA from 1 species
CACGAACGCUGGCGGCAGGCUUAACACAUGCAAGUCGAGCGCCCCGCAAGGGGAGCGGCAGACGGGUGAGUAACGCGUGGGAAUCUACCCAUCUCUACGGAAUAACGCAUGGAAACGUGUGCUAAUACCGUAUACGUCCUUCGGGAGGAAGAUUUAUCGGAGAUGGAUGAGCCCGCGUUGGAUUAGCUAGUUGGUGGGGUAAAGGCCUACCAAGGCGACGAUCCAUAGCUGGUCUGAGAGGAUGAUCAGCCACACUGGGACUGAGACACGGCCCAGACUCCUACGGGAGGCAGCAGUGGGGAAUAUUGGACAAUGGGCGCAAGCCUGAUCCAGCCAUGCCGCGUGAGUGAUGAAGGCCCUAGGGUUGUAAAGCUCUUUCACCGGUGAAGAUUAUGACGGUAACCGGAGAAGAAGCCCCGGCUAACUUCGUGCCAGCCGCCGCGGUAACAC